AUUGAACGCUGGCGGCAGGCCUAACACAUGCAAGUCGAGCGGAUGAAGGGAGCUUGCUCCUGGAUUCAGCGGCGGACGGGUGAGUAAUGCCUAGGAAUCUGCCUGGUAGUGGGGGAUAACGUCCGGAAACGGGCGCUAAUACCGCAUACGUCCUGAGGGAGAAAGUGGGUGAUCUUCGGACCUCACGCUAUCAGAUGAGCCUAGGUCGGAUUAGCUAGUUGGUGGGGUAAGGGCCUACCAAGGCGACGAUCCGUAACUGGUCUGAGAGGAUGAUCAGUCACACUGGAACUGAGACACGGUCCAGACUCCUACGGGAGGCAGCAGUGGGGAAUAUUGGACAAUGGGCGAAAGCCUGAUCCAGCCAUGCCGCGUGUGUGAAGAAGGUCUUCGGAUUGUAAAGCACUUUAAGUUGGGAGGAAGGGCAGUAAGUUAAUACCUUGCUGUUUUGACGUUACCAACAGAAUAAGCACCGGCUAACUUCGUG
rnacentral:rRNA from 1 species